rnacentral:lncRNA from 10 species
AUGACUUAGCUACGUGAAAGACUUGCGGCCGGGCUCGCCCCUCUUCUAGAAGCCGUCAGUUUGGGUCUCGCGUCUGGAAUCACCGUCAAGGAGUCAGAUCCAGCCCCGGAGAGGGAGCAGGGUCGAGGUCUCCUUGCAGAAGGCGCCACCGCAGGAAGCACAGGCGCAACGUGCAGUCUCCCUAGCGGAGGCGCUCGCGAUCCUGCAGCCGCCGGUCCGGGAGGUGCUCGGUAGCCCUCCUUGGUGCCUGUCCGGUAGCUGGUCACUCUCGGGGGAAGGUCGUGUGCAGAAGGGCACAUGCGAUCACACAGAGACGGCGUUGCUGCGGCUUUGACCCGAUGGUGCACCCGAAAGAACACAGAGGGUGGAGGGGGAGAUCCAGGAAGUGGUCGCGGAGCAGAACCCCCUUUCACUUCAGUCAAAAAUAUAAAAUGGAGCUGCUAGAAAUAGCAAAAGCCA